UUUUAACUUCAAGACUAAUUAUUCUUCUUAAUUAACAAAUUAACCAAACAAAACAUUAAUAUCUUAUCAUCUAGAAUACAAAUAAUAACAAUAAUAAUAAAUAAAUAAAUUAUAUUCUCCAACUGAUAUAUCAUUUUCAACAUGGAAUUCAGCAUUCUUCACAAGCCAAAAAUAUCAUAGUUUUUACACAUCCGAAAAUGAUCAUCAACAACCUUGCUUUGUGUGGGUUUGAUUCAACUUUGCUACGAUCUCAUAACAAAGUUCAAUGCCUUUUAUUAUCAUGUCACACCUCUGAAGCAUUAUCAGAAGAUAGAGGGCUCCUUGGUUGCUGUAUAUUAUCUAUUCCCGUCCUGCAGUUGAUCAAGGCCAAAAUCGUCUUUAUCAAAUGCUAGAAGUCUGAAUGAUAUAAACAAACUAAGCUUGAAUGAGUUAUUGGGGUCCGGCAGAGAGGGCACUCAGGCUUUUCAUUGCACCAUUCCAUUAUGCAAUUCCAGCAGAACACAUGACCGCAAGCUGUAGCAGUUGGGUACUGCCGAUUACUCAAGCAGAGUGUGCAUUUGCUCACCCCAUUUGCUCCGUAAGACUGAUCAGACAAAAUAAUAGCAUAACAACAUUAAUAAGAGAGCCUUAAAACUAGUAUCCAGAUAAACAUCAUAGCAUAAGAAAUUUUCAGAACAAGUUAGGCAUGCAAGGUGGCACUUCUAUUAGCAGUAUAAUGACUGAUCUUAUCAUGUGGCACAGGUAGGUAUUUUGUAAAAUAUCAACAUAUUAAACAAUGCCCAAACAAACAGAUAAUAAACUAAUUGUCAUUUAAACCAUCAAUGGUAAGGCAUGUGUGACGCCUUGUUCUAAGGACAAGACUUCUAGAAUUUUACCCUUUACCUAAGCUGAAUCUGAAUUGGGACUAAAUUAAUCCAAUCUCCAAUAUGGUUAAGCUCUCUGAUCAAUUACGUCCGUCCACAUAUUCCUGCAAAAGGUUAAUGCAUAAAUAUCCUUUUCCUAGUCUUUAUUAUGACAUAUCUUUGUACUUUCCUUCUACCCAAACUAUUCUUUUUCACAUUUCUUGGUCGCUAGUAUCCACAACUUAAGAACCAAACACUUUUGUAUUAGAAUCUUGGGAAUCAAGACAAGAACAUAAUAACUUCAUGAGGGGCAAAAAAUAUGUUUUUCAAUGAGAAAAAUGAAAUUUUACCUCUGAAGUUGAUGUGGAAUCUGACAACCAACCUCCCCUGCCCGUCUCCAUAGGUAUCAAAUUACCUUCCUCAUUUAGGACAGGCAAACGUCGCCCUGAACUUUGAUGGGGAUCAAUGGAGGUCUGAUGAACUGAACUUGCAAUAGAAGAUAUAUUGCUGCGGCGCAGACCUUCAGCAGCAAUAAUACAUAGCUGAAUUAGAAGGAACACACCCAGUAUUUGGUAUCUUGGUCUUUGAUUUGAUGGCUUUCCAAUGAAAACAUAACGAAUGCCAGCUGCACGUUUCGAUAUAUGAUAAUACAAACCUUCAAAGUAGAAAAACAUGAGGUUAGUGCGAAGAAUCAAUUGCAAAAGUUCACGAGCCACAGGAAGUGCCUGAAUGCAACAAAGAUAAUAAAUUUUGCUUUAAAUUACAAGUUAUACAAGGAGUUCACACUUCACAGAACCAACUGGAAUCAAUGUCAAGCAAUUGUAAUGGAAAGCAAAAAGGGUAAAAACAAGGACAAAACUCCAGGAAAGGAUUCAUUGAAGUUAAGUUUAAGAAAACAACUUACUAUUUUCCUUUCUGAGAAUUUCUUUGUCAUGGAAAGGAAAAGGAAUUCAUUGCAAAAUAAUGAUAUAUACUUUUUUUUUUCGAUGUCAAAAAACAAAAAGAUCAUAUCUAAGGAUUGCCUGACUAAAGAAUCUUCAGUAUAAGUAUACAUUACCACAGGCCAUCGUCGAACUGCAUGCAACCAUAGUCCACUGAACUUCUGCCUCAACCUAGAUAGUAAAGAAACUGAUGCCCCUG
rnacentral:misc_RNA from 1 species